AUGGGCAAUGGAGAACCUGAUUCACACCUAAAUCAGACCGAAUCAAAGCCUGCCCUCUUCCUCAAGCUGGAUAUUGCAAAAGCCUUUGAUUCGCCGUUGAAGAUCCUCAAAAGGGUGACGAACGAUGGAAUUCUGAGUCAGCUGUCCAGCCGCCAUGCAAGGUUCCGUGUUAGUAUCUGUGCUGAUGAUGUCGCCUUGUUCAUCAACCCUGUGAGAAGCGAUGUGGAUGCCCUGCACUCUGUUCUUGCUGCUUUUGGUGACGUUUCUGGCCUGCGCACAAGUUUCUCAGAAUCAACUUCAUUCCAUAUCCACUGCUCCAACCUGGAUAUCAAUGACACUUUGGCAUCCUUCUUGCGUGAUCUGGGCUCCCUGCCCUGUUCCUAUCUCGGGCUGCCUAGUACUAGGAAACCCAUCUGGUCUGGUGAUGAGGAGGCAAGGGAGCUCAAUUUGCUCUUGCCUAAGCAAUUCGGAGGGUAUUAA
rnacentral:rRNA from 1 species